AUACGUAGGUGGCAAGCGUUGUCCGGAAUUAUUGGGCGUAAAGCGCGCGCAGGUGGUUCUUUAAGUCUGAUGUGAAAGCCCACGGCUCAACCGUGGAGGGUCAUUGGAAACUGGGGAACUUGAGUGCAGAAGAGGAAAGUGGAAUUCCAAGUGUAGCGGUGAAAUGCGUAGAGAUUUGGAGGAACACCAGUGGCGAAGGCGACUUUCUGGUCUGUAACUGACACUGAGGCGCGAAAGCGUGGGGAGCAAACAGGAUUAGAUACCCUGGUAGUCCACGCCGUAAACGAUGAGUGCUAAGUGUUAGAGGGUUUCCGCCCUUUAGUGCUGCAGCUAACGCAUUAAGCACUCCGCCUGGGGAGUACGGCCGCAAGGCUGAA
rnacentral:rRNA from 1 species